UACGUAGGGUGCAAGCGUUGUCCGGAAUUAUUGGGCGUAAAGAGCUCGUAGGCGGUCUGUCGCGUCGGAUGUGAAAGCCCGGGGCUUAACUCCGGGUCUGCAUUCGAUACGGGCAGACUAGAGUGUGGUAGGGGAGAUCGGAAUUCCUGGUGUAGCGGUGAAAUGCGCAGAUAUCAGGAGGAACACCGGUGGCGAAGGCGGAUCUCUGGGCCAUUACUGACGCUGAUGCGCGAAAGCGUGGGGAGCAAACGGG
rnacentral:rRNA from 1 species